rnacentral:rRNA from 1 species
ACUCAAAGGAAUAGACGGGGACCCGCACAAGUAGCGGAGCAUGUGGUUUAAUUCGAAGCAACGCGAAGAACCUUACCUAAGCUUGACAUCCUUUUGACCGAUGCCUAAUCGCAUCUUUCCCUUCGGGGACAGAAGUGACAGGUGGUGCAUGGUUGUCGUCAGCUCGUGUCGUGAGAUGUUGGGUUAAGUCCCGCAACGAGCGCAACCCUUGCCUUUAGUUGCCAGCAUUAAGUUGGGCACUCUAGAGGGACUGCCAGGGAUAACCUGGAGGAAGGUGGGGAUGACGUCAAAUCAUCAUGCCCCUUAUGCUUAGGGCUACACACGUGCUACAAUGGGUGGUACAGAGGGCAGCCAAGUCGUGAGGCGGAGCUAAUCCCUUAAAGCCAUUCUCAGUUCGGAUUGUAGGCUGAAACUCGCCUACAUGAAGCUGGAGUUACUAGUAAUCGCAGAUCAGAAUGCUGCGGUGAAUGCGUUCCCGGGUCUUGUACACACCGCCCGU